UUCUUUCUCCUCUGCAUUAUUUGUUAGAGAGCUUACAGCCAAAUGUGUGUGGCCCAUCUCUAGAAAGAUAAUGUCUUCGUGAUGUGCUGUCCUUGGCAGACUUCUCACCCUUAUUAUUCCUAUGCUUCAAUUUCUUCACACUGUUUAGUUUAUUGUCUUACAUGCAUCCCUACAAGCUGCCUUGGAUCCUUUUCAGAAUAAGAUAGGGCAUAAAUAAAUGAAAUGAUGAAUAAAAUACUUGCUCCCUUCCCAUUCUAAAUCUUGUUCAAAUGAUUACUUUGAAUAAAACACUGAAUUUGCAUGCGCUAUAAAUGCAAUGCUAUCCAUGUUGUAGAGAAGAGAGUGUAUUGAGUCACAAAUUGCAUUGUGGCCUCCAAGGCAACAAUUGUGUGAGACAAAGAAAACUACAUGAUUAUAUUCAUUCAGCAUCCAGAGAAACAGAUGAUCCAGAAAUGAGGAUUCACCAAAAGUCAUAAACAUAAGGCAUGAUUAAGCCCGGAACACAGACUGAGGGACUCCAAAAAGGACAACAGGGAUCAACUGCAAAGGGUUGUAUCUACUACAGUCAGCAUCAAAUGCUAAAGGUUAAGAAUUCAUAUUUCAAAGAAAGGACUAUGGACUUUUGAAUGUCAUGGUUCUGUUUUUCUUCAUUAAAAAGCAAAGUAUGAUAAGAGGUAAAUGUGGUGCUUAGGACAAUUAUGACAAAGUAGAAUAAGUAGCAAUUUGGUUUGAAAGCCAAUAACUAAACCAUGUAAAAUGGACAAGUCAUUUCUACAUUCUAAGCCUUAAUUUUCUUAUCUCUAAAAGGAAAAGAAGAAUAAUAAUAUUCUCUAUUGAGAUUUUUUUGAGACUUUAGAAGA